rnacentral:rRNA from 1 species
GAUGAACGCUGGCGGCGUGCCUAAUACAUGCAAGUCGAGCGAACAGACGAGGAGCUUGCUCCUCUGACGUUAGCGGCGGACGGGUGAGUAACACGUGGAUAACCUACCUAUAAGCCUGGGAUAACUUCGGGAAACCGGAGCUAAUACCGGAUAAUAUAUUGAACCGCAUGGUUCAAUAGUGAAAGACGGCUUUGCUGUCACUUAUAGAUGGAUCCGCGCCGCAUUAGCUAGUUGGUAAGGUAACGGCUUACCAAGGCAACGAUGCGUAGCCGACCUGAGAGGGUGAUCGGCCACACUGGAACUGAGACACGGUCCAGACUCCUACGGGAGGCAGCAGUAGGGAAUCUUCCGCAAUGGGCGAAAGCCUGACGGAGCAACGCCGCGUGAGUGAUGAAGGUCUUCGGAUCGUAAAACUCUGUUAUUAGGGAAGAACAAAUGUGUAAGUAACUAUGCACGUCUUGACGGUACCUAAUCAGAAAGCCACGGCUAACUACGUG